CAGUGCAAGGUUAAAGUGAAGGAGCUGCGGCGUGCCUGUUGCAAAGCCCGCAAGGGAAACUGCCGCUUCGACGCUGCCCCCACGACCUGCCGUUUUUACAAAAAGCUGGACGCGAUACUUGGGGGUGACCCCACCACCACUCCAAAGACCACGAUGGACACUUCGGGGGUGCGGGGAGGAGGAGAAGGAGGAGGAAACCGAGAGUGAGGGUACUGGGGUGGGGGGAGACACCCCGGAGUCCCUGGAGGCAUGCAGCCAGGAGCUCUUCUCAAGCCAGGAGGAAGGUAGCCAGUCGCAGUAGCCGGUACUUGGUGGAGGACAAACAGAGGAGCGGGUUCCCGAAGCAACCUUGAGAUCUCGGCUGCCUGUGCUAUCAACAGCUCAAAGACUACAAAACCUCCGGAAGAAGCAGCGAAGAAGCAAAGAAGAUCUGCUAUAGCAGUUGUGGAGCACUCUCUCACAGAGAGAAGGAGGGAAAGGGAAAGCAGGAUCCGCCAGAAAAAUGCUGCGGACAGGAAGAAAAGCACAAAGCAGCUGAUAAGCAUCCUGGCGCGCCAAGCGAACUCUAUCCAGGCGCUUGUAGCCAUACAGGCAGAGCACUACCGCACCCGUUCCUGCCCCGUCCCAAAGCUCUUUCCUUUGUGCCCCAAUGUCAGCUCAAAACCCCCUUCCCCAGCAUCCAGGUUCUUACCAGUACCAGCUGCCUCCAACACCUGUAAGUUCACCGACCAGCCCUGAGAACUACAACCAUUACCCUCUGCACUCAACCCCCAUCACCAUGCAGUAUAGCCAUCCUGAAGUGCAGCAGUCGUUACACAGCACUCCAGACAGGACAUAUUCAAACCUUUGACUGUACAGUUCCCCACCCCACCCCCCUGUUCCCAAAAAGUUGUGUGUCUAUCAGUAAAGUUAUUUUAUUUUCAAUAAAUGAA